rnacentral:RNase_P_RNA from 1 species
UCUAUCGCUGCUGCACUUCGGUGCAGGGGAGGAAAGUCCGGGCAGGACAGAGCACCGCACUGUGGAAAGCACAGGUAGGCGAAAGCUUACGUCACGGGUAACAGAAAACAACCGCCCCUCCUGCGGCAGGAUCCGCUUCCGAUUCCCUACGGGACAGAGGCAAUGGUCCUUCCGACGGAGAGGUAAGGGUGAAAAUGCAGGGUAAGAGCCUGCGUUCGCGGCAUGGCGACAUCCGCGGAGUAUCCGUCUGCGGCCUGCAAGGCCAAAUAUACCGGCAGUCAAGGGUUGCUCGCUCUUUGCCGGGGGGUAGGCUGCUCAGAUAAAUGAUAGAGGCCUCCUGAGUCCGCUCCGGAGGUACAGAACUCGGCUUACAGCCCCGCCUU